rnacentral:tRNA from 1 species
GCAUUGGUGGUUUGGUGGUAGGAUUCUCGCUUCCCAAGUGGGAAAGCUGGGUUUGACUCCCGGCCCAUACA